AAAAAGACAAACUCUGGGUUUCCGUGUCCAACUUUGACUGUCCGUCUUAUAUGGAAUUUUUCUAUAAUUUAUAUUUUCAUUGUUGUUAGAUGAUAAAACGUGAUUAAUAUUUUAUGCGUGACUUGUCUUUUUAAUUUUUUCAUAAUUUUUCAAAUAAGACGGACGGUCAUACGUUGGACACGGAAACCAGAGUUUGUCUUUUUU
rfam:Oryza glumipatula chromosome 6, whole genome shotgun sequence.